UCUAUGUUAAGAUCUGGAGUUACAUAUUAAAAUAUCAACCUUGUUAAAAAGAGUAGUAUAAAACCUUAUAAAUUGGUCUAUGUUUUCAUAUUUAUUUAAUGUGAAAUUAUAUUCCUUAACAUUCCCUUUUCUAAUACUAAAUCAAUCUCAUACCAUAUUUGACUGAAUAAAAAAUCAUAUUUCAUUCUUCUUCUUUUUUCUUUUGUGUUCAUUUCUUUGAAGGAGUUUUUCAUGCUUUGUGCAAACUCUCAAAGGUUUGUAAUAUCCUCUGAACUGGUUGUCGAAAAUUCUAAAAGCAAUUUGUGUGGAGGUAACUAUCGAUUUUAGAAAAGCAUAUUUUAUAAGUGUAGGCCUUUUUUAGGUAUUCUUCAAUAUUUGGUUCCUGUUUCCAUUCUCCAUAUUCUCCUUUUCAUAUUUUUCAGCGACUUCUAAUUAGCCAUGGAUUAAGUGAUGACCUUACUUGGGCUAGCUAGGCGCUCAUGAAGAGCAUGAAGACAAGCAUUACGCUAAAUUGAGAAGUGAUGCGCACAAAUUUGCAUUGUAGGGCGUGCAAAUUAACCUCAAUGCUUCGGAUGAAGUUAGGAGAGUUCCUUUACAACGAAUAUGCUUUGAGAGGAUUGUAUAUUGUGUGUAAGCAUGCAACCAAGAUGGAAGCUGUGCAUCUCAAAUAAGCGAGCACCUUGGCACUGAGUGUAACACAUGGAUGUGUUCAAGUGUUCACGUGCAGUAAACUUUGUUGGAAAAAAAUAUGCAACUUGUCAUGUCUAGACUUAUGAUGAAAUUUGCUGGAAGGUAGUUGAAGGAGUGAGUGCAAAAUAUAGUCCUUUUGUACGACUUAGAGAGUCAACUCGUGUCAGAAAGUCUUGUGUUUCAUCAAGUAAAAGGGUUAUUAAGUAAGUAUUGACCAGAAGGCAUGUUGGUAUUAUAAGGCAUUCUUUUGUGACAAAUACGCCUCGUAUAAUUUUAUUAUCGCGGACUGUUUGCAGAUACUUGGCAAGCUUAAGGCUUUUGUCUCAUAUACUAUACUUGGAUUAGUACACUCAUUGUGUUAGGUCCAAAUUUGUA
rnacentral:lncRNA from 1 species